rnacentral:rRNA from 1 species
UGAGAAAAUUAGAGUGUUCAAAGCAGACAUUUGCUUGAAUAUAUUAGCAUGGAAUGAUCAUGUAUGAUUUUCAUGAUGUAUUUGAUUGGUUUGGUUCAUGAGAAUAAGAUUAAAAGGGACAGUUGGGGGUAUUCAUAUUCAAUAGUCAGAGGUGAAAUUCUCGGAUUUAUGGAAGAUGAACAAGUGCGAAAGCAUUUACCAAGGAUGUUUUCAUUAAUCAAGAACGAAAGUUAGGGGAUCGAAGAGGACUAGAUACCCUCGUAGUCUUAA